rnacentral:rRNA from 1 species
CCUACGGGUGGCAGCAGUCGAGAAUCAUUCACAAUGGGGGAAACCCUGAUGGUGCGACGCCGCGUGGGGGAGUGAAGGUCUUCGGAUUGUAAACUCCUGUCAUGUGGGAGCAAAUUAAAAAGAUAGUACCACAAGAGGAAGAGACGGCUAACUCUGUUCCAGCAGCCGCGGUAAUACAGAGGUCUCAAGCGUUGUUCGGAAUCACUGGGCGUAAGGCGGGAGUAGGCUGUUUCGUAAGUCGUGUGUGAAAGGCGCGGGCUCAACCCGCGGACGGCACAUGAUACUGGGAGACUAGAGUAAUGGAGGGGUAACCGGAAUUCUCGGUGUAGCAGUGAAAUGCGUAGAUAUCGAGAGGAACACUCGUGGCGAAGGCGGGUUCCUGGACAGUAACUGACGCUGAGGCACGAAGGCCAGGGGAGCGAAAGGGAUUAGAUACCCCGGUAGUC